CUUUUAAGUAAUUUUUUAUACGAAAAUGCCAAAAAUUAAUUGAUUCCAGCUUCUUAAAUGUGGUUAUUUGCUAGUUUUCUUAACCUUCAGUGAUAUUAAACUGCAUGUUUUAGCCUGCUGUUUGAUUUUGUAUGACAACUUGGGCGAAGGAGUACAGAAUUAAUCAGUUAAUCAAAAACAAUGAUGAAUAGAUUGAUCAAUAAUGAAGAUAAUUUGUUAAUGGCAGCCCUAUUCAUACAUAUGUAUAUCUGCAUUUCCAUAUAUCAGUUUAUUAUGCUCACAUUGGAGUUAGUGAUGUAUGCUGUUUAUUCCCUGGGGAUCAAUAUCGGCCCCCGAUAUAAAUUAUCGCUCUCUGGCGUCAUUCAUUACCGGUAUCGGCCAUGAAAAACCAGAUAUCGGUCAACCACCGCGUCAGCCACCAGAAGGCGGUAAACUCAACCAAGAUGCUGCCAAAACAUUAUCUGUUAUUCUCUUGUUUCACCGCCGCACAGACAAGUCAGGAUAAAGUGGACAGUCUGGGUGAACAGGACGUUAAUGUCCGAUGAACUCUGGCCGAACUGACUUUAUCUGAGCACCGUUAGAGCUGCAGUCAGAGUUUAAACACCGCGCCGCUGAGCUAAACUAAGCUAAGCUAAGCUAACUGCGAGCUGCUGAGACACUGUAGAAGCGUCCACGCAGCAGGAACAUGAGGAAGACUGCGCUGAGGAGGAUGCAGAGCGUGCACACAGUGGGAACCACUAUCUCUGUCACCAUCUCCAUGUGGCCUAUCAGCGGAUCUGAAACACACAGGAGAUACGUGUAAAUUUCAACAAGCGUCGGAAGCCCCAGGGAACAGAGUAGAGCCAUUCAGAGCCGGGAUCGGGCCACUCCGGGUCAACCAGCUCAGC